rnacentral:rRNA from 1 species
UCGGCUUCCUACGGGAGGCAGCAGUGAGGAAUAUUGGUCAAUGGGCGAUAGCCUGAACCAGCCAUCCCGCGUGCAGGAUGACGGCCCUAUGGGUUGUAAACUGCUUUUCUAUACCAAGGAAUCCUUCUACGCGUAGGAAGUUGCCGGUAGUAUAGGAAUAAGCAUCGGCUAACUCCGUGCCAGCAGCCGCGGUAAUA